rnacentral:tRNA from 1 species
GUGUCUGUAGCCUAGUGGUAAAAGGCAGCACUCUCGAUGCUGAGGUUGUGGGUUUGAAUCCCACCAGACACA